UUACUUUUGUUAUAAAGCACAUAUCUAGAAUUGCUAACAAGGUUGUUGAUGCAUUGAGCAGGAAAUGUUUGAUUCUUCAUGAAUUUCAUGUGAAGACCUUAACACUGGGACUGAGACACGGCCCAGACUCCUACGGGAGGCAGCAAUGGGGAAUUUUCUGCAAUGGGAGAAAGCCUGACAGAGCAAUGUCGCGUGAAGGCAGAAGGCCCACGGGUCAUGAACUUAUUUUCUCGGAGAAGAAACAAUGAUGGUAUUUGAGGAAUAAGCAUCGGGUAACUCUGUGCCAACAGCCGCGGUAAGACAGAGGAUGCAAGCGUUAUCCAGAAUGAUUGGGCGUAAAGCAUCUAUAGGUUUUGAUAACCUUAAGG
rnacentral:ncRNA from 1 species